UACGUAGGGAGCAAGCGUUGUCCGGAAUCAUUGGGCGUAAAGCGCGCGUAGGUGGCUUCGUAAGUCCGCUGUGAAAGUCAAAGGCUCAACCUUUGAAUGUCAGUGGAUACUGCCGGGCUAGAGUCCGGAAGAGGCGAGUGGAACUCCUGGUGUAGCGGUGGAAUGCGCAGAUAUCAGGAAGAACACCAACGGCGAAGGCAGCUCGCUGGGACGGUACUGACGCUGAGACGCGAAAGCGUGGGGAGCGAACAGG
rnacentral:rRNA from 1 species